AUUGAACGCUGGCGGCAGGCCUAACACAUGCAAGUCGAGCGGAUGAAGGGAGCUUGCUCCUGGAUUCAGCGGCGGACGGGUGAGUAAUGCCUAGGAAUCUGCCUGGUAGUGGGGGAUAACGCCCGGAAACGGGCGCUAAUACCGCAUACGUCCUGAGGGAGAAAGUGGGGGAUCUUCGGACCUCACGCUAUCAGAUGAGCCUAGGUCGGAUUAGCUAGUUGGUGGGGUAAAGGCCUACCAAGGCGACGAUCCGUAACUGGUCUGAGAGGAUGAUCAGUCACACUGGAACUGAGACACGGUCCAGACUCCUACGGGAGGCAGCAGUGGGGAAUAUUGGACAAUGGGCGAAAGCCUGAUCCAGCCGUGCCGCGUGUGUGAAGAAGGUCUUCGGAUUGUAAAGCACUUUAAGUUGGGAGGAAGGGCAGUAAGUUAAUACCUUGCUGUUUUGACGUUACCAACAGAAUAAGCACCGGCUAACUUCGUG
rnacentral:rRNA from 1 species